GUGUCUGGGGUUGAUUGCUCGCAUAACCCACCGCUUGUAUAACAAGCAGUUUCUUGAUUUGCGAAGAUCAUGGCUGCAAUUCUGUUCCUGCUUCUAGAGACCAAAGAUGGCUGCAGCGAAAUCUACUGCGCAUGGAACUUGAUGUUGUCUCCUUGCGUGUUCUACAGUGCAUACAUUGACUGUGCUCUGUAUAAUUACUACACAACAACUAUUAUCUAUAUUUGAGAAGAAAAUCGAUGCAUUUCUCCCCGUGUUUCUGGAUCUCAAGGAUGUAUUCUGCCAGAAUCUGAGCAAGUGUCCAAGCCAAAUCUACAGUGGAGUGCCGGCCGAGAAUAUACAGUGCUUCUGUCAGUAGUUGCGGAACUGGUUUAUCUUAGUGUGGAC